UAGAAAUACUUCGCUGAUAAGGGGGUGGGUCUGAAGCUUCUAGAAGAUUAACAUAGGCUCUCCACAUCCUACUCCUACAAAAUACGUCCCCGUCGUACAGAACGGUAACAUGCCUCUCAAUUAUCCAAGCUAGGGUAUACCCAACCCCUUGAGAGGAUGGGUAGCAUGGCUAAAUUGAGAGAG
rnacentral:ribozyme from 1 species